AUACCCUCAGACAUGGAUGAGGGCCAGGAUGAACAGAUUGGGCCAUGUUGUACCAGGGCUGUCUUUAACUCUGGCUUAAUGGAUUCUAUUGCCAUCUUCAUUGACCUCAGCUACAUGGUGUACACAUUCCAGUGUGACUCUCCUCCUGGCUAGUUCAACAGAAUAGCCAGGUCUGAGAAGAGAAAAUGUGUCAUCAUCAGGAAGGUCAUCUCCAUCUUCCAGGAGAGAGACCUCCAGCAUCAAAUGAGGUGAUGCUGAUGCUAAGUGUGCCAUGGAGUCUACUGGUGUCUUCACCACCAUGGAGAAGGCCAGGGCCCACUUGAAGGGUGGGGCCAAAAGAGCCAUCAUCUCCACCCCUUCUGCCAAUGCCCCUAUGUUUGUGAUGGGUGUCAACCAUGAGACAACUCACUCAAGAUUGUCAGCAAUACUUCCUGCACCACCAAUUGUAUAGUCCCUGUGGCCAAGGUCAACCUUGACAACUUUAGCAUUGAGGAAAAGACUCAUGACUACAGUUCAUGCCAUCACUGCCAUCCAGAAGACUGUGGAUGCCCCCUGAGGGAAUCUGUGCUAUAAUGGUUGUGGGGCUUCCCAGAACACCAUCCCUGUAUCCACGGGUGAUGCCAAGGCUGUGGGUAAGGUCAUCCCAGAGCUUCCCAGGAAGCCCACUGGCAUGGCUUCCCAUGUUCCUAGCUGUGGAUCUGACUUGCUGCCUGGAGAAAGCUGUCAAUUAUGAUGACAUCAAAGUAGUGAUGCAAACAAUGGAGGACACACUAAAAGACACCCAGCAUGACACUAAGGACCAGCUUGACUCCUGUGACUUUAACAGUGAUACCCACACUUCCAGCUUUGAUGCUGGGCUGGUACUGCUCUCAAUGUAAAGCUCAUUUCCUGGUAUGACAGUAAAUAUGGCUACAGCAACAGGGUGGUGGACCUCAUGGCG
rnacentral:lncRNA from 1 species